GUUAGGAGCAGUUAACCUCUGCAGCUUCCAGGGAGAGCGCUAACAUUCAAUAUAUGCCAAACCCGGCCCAUUAGGUUGAAUAAUGAGUGAGUAUAUCUGAAGCUUUGUACCAGACAAGAUGAAAACAGAUUGGGCAGGCUAUUGUACCACACUUUAUUACCUAGUGAAAUGUAAUUUGAUCCAUUUGCAGGAGGAAGAACCAAGAUGCUUGUUUCAGAAUUCAAUUGCUCCAGAAAGAUGAAACCUAAGAAGAGAAAUGUAUCUUUGAGAUCCUACCGUGAUUUUGGACUUUGGCAACUGGGCCUUCAAGAAAACCAUCAAAAUCCAUGAAUCAUCCUAAAACAACAGGGGAAGCUGAGAAUGCUGCUCAAGGCCAUAUGUCUCACAAAGAAAGAGCAUUGCUUUUGAACUGCACUCACUGAGCCUGCUUGGGUUUUGAAAAUUAAUGGGAGAACUUCCUUGUUACAGUGGUCUUCUCUUAUGUCUCAGUAUCAUCCAGCACAGCAGUACUGAACGGGUAUGCAAAAAAAAAAACAAACCACCCCUCCAAAAAUCCCAGAAGUGAGAAUAUGCAAUGAAUGGAAUUGUUUUCAUUGUCCAAUUUGACUGAAACACAGAAGUCUUCUUCAUUAUUUAGAAACAAUGUCACUUCUCUUGUGAAAAACUGAUUUUUGAGACAAAAAUUAUUUAAAUUUUAAUGGAAACCCAAACAUGGGAAAUAUGUAGUCAAAUGUAAGCUCAAAAUAUAGUAUCAAGAUCAAAUGUUUACUCAUGGGCAACCGCUGAAAACCCCUUGAACUACAUGAAUUAAAACCAGAUGUUUUAAAUUAAAACACAUAAAUUACCGAUGCUGAUAUUACUAUAAAUUUCAAUGAUGAAAACACAUCAGUCAAGACUUUAAGGGAGAUUCUAAAGGUUACACAUAGGAGUAUUUUCCAUUAUUAAACAAAGUGUCACCUGAAGAAGUUCCCUGGAAGAGUGUAGGAGGACCUGUGCAAAGAAUCUCGGGUUACCGUGACAUGAUCCAACUAUUCCUGUUUUUAUUCUGAGUCAGGGCUGUGUAUCUCAGGCAUUUCUUUGUUUGGUUUCUGGUGUGUAUUCUGCCCUAACAAGGAGCUCCAUGUAUCCCAUUCUAUUUCCUGCUGGACAUUCCUCCCCAUCCCCUACCCAGAGAACACAGCUGGAACCAGUAACAUCCCUGCAAAUGAACUGAACUUUUAGGUUCAACCAUUGCAUCAUGCUUCAGGCUGCCUAGCAUCUUUCUAACACCAGUGUAAUUUGGUAUUAUUUCCACUAAACAACGGUCAAAUCUUGUAUAUAUGCAUGGAAA
rnacentral:lncRNA from 1 species